rnacentral:tRNA from 1 species
GAGCUUUAGCUCAGUGGUUAGAGCAGUCGGCUCAUAACCGAUCGGUCCCGGGUUCGAGUCCCCGAAG